rnacentral:rRNA from 1 species
AUUGAACGCUGGCGGCAGGCUUAACACAUGCAAGUCGAACGAGUGGCGGACGGGUGAGUAAUGCUUGGGAACCCAGCUUAUGGAGGGGGAUAACUACGGGAAACUGUAGCUAAUACCGCGUACAAUAGGAUGAGCCCAGGUGGGAGUGGGUAGUUGGUGAGGUAACGGCUCACCAAGCCGACGAUCCCUAGCUGGUCUGAGAGGAUGACCAGCCACACUGGGACUGAGACACGGCCCAGACUCCUACGGGAGGCAGCAGUGGGUAAUAUUUCACAAUGGGCGCAAGCUGAUGCAGCCAUGCCGCGUGUAUGAAGAAGGCCUUCGGGUUGUAAAGUUCUUUCGGUAGCGAGGCGUUAACUACAGAAGAAGCACCGGCUAACUCCGUGCCAGCAGCCGCGGUAAUUC